rnacentral:lncRNA from 1 species
CCACACCCACAGCAUGUGGAGAUGCCCAGGCCAGGGAGAGAACCCACGCCACAGCAGCGACCCAAGCCGCCACAGUGAUAAUGCUGCAUCCUUAACCUGCUGCGCCGCAGGAGAACUCCAGGGAAUCCCUUUGAACGUUGUUUAAUCUUAAGUGUCCAAACUUACCUGACCUGCAAAUAACAUGCUUUGUGAAACUCUGGACAGGAGCACAUGCUGUGCGGGAAGGAGAUACCUAGUUGUGGCGUGUGGGUUUACGGGUUAUAAAGAGCCCAUGACUGUACACCGUCAUGUUUUUGUUUUGUUUUGUUUUGUUUAACGUAAUUCUGUGGACAUUGCAGACCCCUCGCAGGGUUUGAAGCGGGAGAGUGAUGUAAUUAUUACUGUGUGUGAGACUCUCCUUCUGGAGAGCAUACACCUGCUCUAAUUGCCUAGACUGGGGUAGGUCGGGGUCUUUGGUGAGAGCCUCCUUUCUGGAAAGGGACCAUCACCCCUGUCAAGCUGCCUUUUCUCGCUCUUUGAAAAGCACAGCAGGACUUUAAGCCUGGCCCUCCGUGGCCACCAGCGAUGGGCAGAAUCAUGCUUUUCUUAAUCUUCCCUGUGUGGCCAUUUCUUCUCCCUUUUAAGUUUCUCCUCUAGGUCCUGAAUGGGAGCUCUAAUGAUGAUGGGGAAGUUUCAUAGCUCCCUGCAAGGAGCUUUCUGAUGCCUCAGUACUAAAAAUGAAACUGUUUUUGCCUUUAUUUGACCUUUAAAGUUGUCAUGACCUAAUUUAGGAAAGUCCUGUAAAAUGUGUCUAGGAAUUGUUUUAUUUUUUUAUUUUUUUGGCUUUUUGUGCCUUUUCUAGGGCCGUUCCCAUGGCAGAUGGAGGUUCGAAGGCUGGGGGCUGGCAGCAACAGCUCCGAUUAGACCCCUAGCCUGGAAACCUCCAUAUGCCGCAGGUGCGGCCCUAAAAAAAGCUAAAUAAAUAAAUAAAUAAAUAAAUUCCGAUGACAUUAUUUCAGUGAGCAGAAUAAGUAAUACAAUGUUCAGGCAAAGCACUAGUGAACUGAAAUGCAUGUGCCAAAAAUAGAUUAGGGAACGAAGUGUCAGAGGAACACUGGGGAUGACAGAUAUUUUCCGUUUUUGUCACACCUCUCAUCUGCCCUCGCCCUAGCUGUGUUUUUCUCAUGCGGAUUUGCACGACCAUGUCUGCUCCCUUGGGCUCAGGCACAGGGCUGGACGGCGUGCAUUUGGGGUGAGUCAGUGAUGCUGCUGACCGUGCAGUUUAGUAAUUCCGUCCUGUACCUGCAGUCACAUCGGUACCCACCCUCUCUUCCCAAGGAGCCCUUGGCAAGGAUGAGACAGACCCUGGCUCCAAAUCCCUUUUUCCUUCUGCUUUUGACGAUUUCACUGUGCCUUUCUCCCCUUUGGCUGUAAUGAACAGGUAAUGAGCGUCCCGCUGUCAAGCCUGCCUGCGUUUCCAACUGAUCAAGGGGGAUCAGGCUUAUUAUGAUCCGCACCGAAAAGCCACGUAAAAUCAGCAUGAAAAGUAACAUCUUAAAGGUGACUCUAUGCGUUUCUCAACAUACAGAAUUUCACAACAGGCAGUUGUGACGUGCUCAGCCAGGAGUCUUUGGGCUCUGGAAGCCCUGCAACCACGGAGGAAGCAAAAGUGUUGCUUUCGCAUCUCUGGCUCUUGAGGGACUCGCUGUGUCCCAAGUCGCAGCGCCCCCUUGAUGACUUUGCGGCUCAGGAAGCCAAGGCUGGACGGCCCUGGCAAGUACAACCCCUGUGUUCUUCACACUCUCCCGAGUGUGGACAUCAUCGGGUCUGGAAUGCACUUUGUGCUGGAUCCUGACCACAGGGCUGGCUGUGUGUGCAGCUGGAGGAGGGUUGGGAGGGGCGGGGACUCUUCAGUUGGGAGGGGACGCACCACUGGCAGGGGUGGGAACGGCCUGAAGACCUGGGUUCAAAUCAGGGACUUAGGAGAGUGUAUUUGUUUUUUUUUUUCCUUUCCUGAGUCUCAGCUUUCUGUUUUAUAAAGGAAGUCUUAUCUACCUCAUGGAAAAGCUGUGAGGAUUAAACAGGGAACUUGUGUGAAGUACCUGGCACAGAGUACUUCCUGCUACCAGUUCCCUGCGCGCCCUUCCCUUCCUAGUGGGUCCCUGGCCUUAUCAUCUCCUUGCACAUUCUGGGGCUGGGGGGCAGGUGUGCUGACUCAGAAGAUCCAUGAGGUCGUGGGUCGUGUGAUGGAAAUUGUCAUGUAGCCCAUAAGGCCACGUCCCCCCCCCGCUUUUUUUUUUGGCUGCCCAGUGGCCUAUGGAGUUAGUUCCCGGGCCAGGGGUCAGAUCGGAGCCACAGUCAUGACCUAAGCUGCAGCUGCAGCAACGCCAGAUCCUUAAGCCACUGUGUUGGGCCGAGGAUUGAAGGAUCGAACCCACCUUCCGGUGCUCCCCAGAUACCGCCGAUCCCCUUGCGCCACAGUGGGAACUCCAAGGCUGAAUCUGAGGCUGGGAUAUUCUCAGAGAAUCCAGAAAGUGUGGUCCCCAUAUCCUCCGGAAGGAGAUCACGAGUGCAGGUGCUGAGAUGGGUGUGAGUGACAGAAACAGCCGGCGCCAGCUGCGUGUACAGCCAGGGGGCCGCCCCGCAGUGCAGGUGUGGGUGAGGGGAGCCACUGGUUGGCUUCUGGUUUGGGGAAGGUGAUGCGGGGGUGGAGGUGGGGGUGCCCAGCCCCAGCCUGGCUGCAGGUGGAGGACAAGUCAGGGAGACCAUAGGAGGCUGCUUCAUACUCCAGGGGCAGGUUGCUGGGGACUCAGAGGAAAGGUGCAGUGACCUGAUAGAAGUGGCCAGAGCCAUCCUUCCGACGACCCCGCAGGCCUGCACAAGCCAUCCAGCCACCUUCCUAACAAGCCCCACGCGUACAAAGUGUGGCCAUAGCGAAGACCGCCCAAACGAGAACAGACGAGGGCUGUUUGUUCAGAGCUUGCUCGAGCAAGGACUGCCUCUGCUUGGGUUUUGGAGACUUGACGGCAGGCAGAGGAGUGGAAAAGCUCUACAGCGGAGAAAAGGCGAGGCUCCCGCUGUGUCCUGAUUGGAGGCCAUCAGCCCUGGGAAGCUGGAGGCGGGCUAUCUAGAAGCAGGACGUCCUGUGAUUGGUUAGGGGAGCGAACCUGCCUUUCUCUGAUUGGUCCUAAGUCGGAAGCAGGGACAAGAAUUAGGGGUGCUGUCAAUUAGUAAUCAAGACUUGGUCAUUUUUGAGCCGAUUAUUUACAGGGAUUAUUGUUUGUUUCCUGGAUCGGUUGCUAGAAAUAGUGGUCUGACUGCCUACCAGUCUGACUUGCAGGUGGCAGGCUGGCUUUGUGGGCUGGUCAGUUGAGAUAAAGGGUGGCUCCCUGAGCUGGUUGCUGGGUUGCAGAUUGUGAGUCAGAGUCCUGUUUUGAUAUGUGUUUGUGAAUUCAGUCUCUCCGAAGAGUGAGUGUGACACAGCCUGUUCCUUUGAGUUGUUCACUGUCCAGCCUCUGUGAGAAACCACAGCCCCUCCUUAUCUGGUUCGUCAGGGGACAGAGUGGCCUCCAUAAUCUCUUUAUGGCAAGGUUUCAGCCCACAUCAGAAUUUGAAAACUGGAGUUCCUGUCGUGGCUCAGUGGUUAACGAACCCGACUAGUAUCCAUGAGGAUGAGGGUUCAAUCUCUGACCUUGCCCAGUGGGUGAAGGAUCCGGCGUUGCCGUGAGCUGUGGUAUAGGUCGCAGACGUGGCUCUGAUCCCGCGUGGCUGUGGCUGUGGCCAGCAGCUACACCUCUGAUUGGACCUCAGCCUGGGAACUUCCCUAUGCCGCGAGUGCAGCCCUAAAAAGACAAAAAACAAAAAAAAA